UAUUCAGCUGUCAGUAGUCAACACAUAAUUUCAUACUAUCGUCCUUCUUCCUCACUAACAACAUUAGUGCACUGUACGACGAAACACUCGGCCGAACACACUUCUUCUGAAGCAGAUCUUCCAAUUGCUUUUUUAGUUCACUCAACUCUGAAGCAUACAUUCUAUAAGGAGCCAUCGAUAUAGGACUAGGACCAAGUACUAAGUCU
rnacentral:lncRNA from 1 species